UACAGUUCUUGUAAGACAUUUGUUUUGGUUAUCGAGUUGAAGGAGUCAGGAAUGAGCUGUUGAAGAUGACUGUCAUGCAGUAGAUAAUAAAUCUGGGGCGUGGAUUUAUGAGUGGGUGGUUUUAGUGGUAGGCAUCUCAAAUGUCUAGAGAAACACCCAGGCUGUUUUUUCAGGAGGCAUCUCUGCUGCUGCUGAGACCUGGCAGCAUCAUUGCACGCAUGGGAGGAGGCAGCCAGAGGAGUCUGCAGGGACCAUAAAGGGGCUGUGGGGGACGAAUGAAAAGCCAAGGAGCCAGAGUGACUGCAGCCUCUUCAGAUGCCACCGAACUAAACAGCAGCACAGGGCAGAGCAGCUCCCUGAGCUGCUACUUGAAUGAAAAAUAUCUGUAAGCUGGCUCUGCUCAAGUGCUCAGUAAUUUGGGGAAAGAGAAAUAACUUUCUGCUGGUGCCCAAUUCAGAGAAUCCUUGAAGAGGAUGACGUGAAGUGACCAUCCCUUGGGGCACUGUUGAUGGGACACUGUAGGCUGUAUCCUGGCUGUGCCAGGACCAUCCUCUUCCCAUGCAGGAGGAGGACUGCUGAAAUGUUGCCUGGGUUAUUAGGCUGUCUCACGUGUGUUUAUGAUGGUUCCCCAAGGACUCCAGUCUGAAGUAGCAUAGCCACACAGCAGUAGGAGGCUUUGCCUUCCCGAAGUGAGCUACAACUGCACUUUAGCUGGAGACAGAACAACAGCUCUUUAAAAGAAAAUGGUGCAGCUUCUCUUUUAAAUGUUCCACUGGGCUCUUGAGGAGGUCUGCAGACGUCUGUGAGGCUCUGAAUGCUCAAGGAAGUAAUAAUCAGCCUUACUAACUCAGAGCACUGGCCAGCCAGUCUUGUACCAGCAGGAAGAGAGUGCAAUAUGUCCUGUCUUUGCAAAGCUGGACACAGGAACCAGCUCCAUCCUGAAACAAACCGCGUGUGCUGUUUGAAGCCUUGGUGAUAGUGCAGCCUGGAGAAUGAGUGGCCCUCUGCCUUGUCAGACCCCCCAGACCACAAUUAUGCUCCACUAGGUUGAGACUAGACUCCAACAGGAAUCCAUCCCUCCAGAUCUGUCCUCUCACCUCCCCGAAAACAUCAUAUUUGAGGUUCAAAGUUGCUUCUACUUCAGGGACACAGCAUGUUACCUGGACUAAUUUAUAAAGGAAAUGAAAAGGAAAUGGACUCGUUGUAAUGAACACCAUUAAUUCACCUCUUCAGACUUCAUUGUUUGAACAUGCAAGAGGAGAGAAAAAACAUCUUUCCUGCAACAGCCUUCUUGAGAAUGGAAGCAUUAAAUCAUAGGGCGUUUUUUUUGAGGGAUCCCGGGAAGCUGGUCUGUGACAAUGUGACAAGGGCUGUGCAUCCAGUGUGUCUCAAUGGAGCUUCCUUCUGAGCUACGAGUCACAAUCAGGAACAGCUAUCAUUCCUUCACAUCCCAGAAACCACUCCAGACACCACCAGCUCCAACAAAGGGAAGGAGAUCCACU